GUACUCGCGCUCCAGGUCCUGCUGAGACCCCGCUGCANUUUUCCCAGGGCGAGGCUCAUCCCCUGCACUCCGGGUGUGCUGACCCCUGCGAUUUCCCCAAAUGCGGGAAACUCAACUGCAUAAUUUGUGGUAGUGGGGGACUGCGUUCGCGCUCUCCCCUG
rnacentral:snRNA from 1 species